rnacentral:tRNA from 11 species
GGGGGUAUAGCUCAGUUGGGAGAGCACCUGCUUUGCAAGCAGGGGGUCAAGGGUUCGAAUCCCUUUAUCUCCACCA